AGUUUAAUAGUCAAAGUGAUAAUGAUUUUAAAUUGCAAAUUUAAAGGUAAGUAAUUUUUUAAACUU
rnacentral:tRNA from 1 species